rnacentral:rRNA from 1 species
CANUGGGGGAACCCUGAUGCAGCGACGCCGCGUGGAGGAAGAAGGUCUUCGGAUUGUAAACUCCUGUUGUUGAGGAAGAUAAUGACGGUACUCAACAAGGAAGUGACGGCUAACUACGUGCCAGCAGCCGCGGUAAAACGUAGGUCACAAGCGUUGUCCGGAAUUACUGGGUGUAAAGGGUGCGUAGGUGGUAUGGCAAGUCAGAAGUGAAAACCCNGGGCUUAACUCUGGGACUGCUUUUGAAACUGUCAGACUGGAGUGCAGGAGAGGUAAGCGGAAUUCCUAGUGUAGCGGUGAAAUGCGUAGAUAUUAGGAGGAACAUCAGUGGCGAAGGCGGCUUACUGGACUGAAACUGACACUGAGGCACGAAAGCGUGGGGAGCAAACAGGAUUAGAUACCCUGGUAGUCCAAGGGCGAAUUC